AUAAAACCACAGUCAGCAGAUAAGAGACUAUUAAGUGAUAU
rnacentral:guide_RNA from 1 species